rnacentral:rRNA from 1 species
UUGGAGGGCAAGUCUGGUGCCAGCAGCCGCGGUAAUUCCAGCUCCAAUAGCGUAUAUUAAAGUUGUUGCAGUUAAAAAGCUCGUAGUUGAAUUUCGAGAUCAAUUUGUCGGUCGUGCCUCGGUACGUACUGGCAUUAUUGAUUUCUCCCUUCUGAAGAACCGCGAUGUCAUUAAUUUGGUGUCGUGGGGAAUCAGGAUUGUUACUUUGAAAAAAUUAGAGUGUUUAAAGCAGGCGCACGCUUGAAUACAUUAGCAUGGAAUAAUGAGAUAGGACGUUUGAUUCUAUUUUGUUGGUUUCUAGGAUCGACGUAAUGAUUAAUAGGGAUAGUUGGGGGCAUUAGUAUUCAAUUGUCAGAGGUGAAAUUCUUGGAUUUAUUGAAGACUAACUACUGCGAAAGCAUUUGCCAAGGAUGUUUUCAUUAAUCAAGAACGAAAGUUAGGGGAUCGAAGACGAUCAGAUACCGUCGUAGUCUUAACCAUAAACUAUGCCGACUAGGGAUCGGAUGAUGUUAAUUUUUUAAUGACUCAUUCGGCGCCUUACGGGAAACCAAAGUGUUUGGGUUC